rnacentral:rRNA from 1 species
CCUACGGGGUGCAGCAGUGGGGAAUAUUGGGCAAUGGGCGCAAGCCUGACCCAGCAACGCCGCGUGAAGGAAGAAGGCUUUCGGGUUGUAAACUUCUUUUGUCAGGGAAGAGUAGCAGACGGUACCCCUUGAAUAAGCCACGGCUAACUACGUGCCAGCAGCCGCGGUAAUACGUAGGUGGCAAGCGUUGUCCGGAUUUACUGGGUGUAAAGGGCGUGCAGCCGGAGAGACAAGUCAGAUGUGAAAUCCACGGGCUCAACUCGUGAACUGCAUUUGAAACUGUUUCCCUUGAGUGUCGGAGAGGUAAUCGGAAUUCCUUGUGUAGCGGUGAAAUGCGUAGAUAUAAGGAAGAACACCAGUGGCGAAGGCGGAUUACUGGACGAUAACUGACGGUGAGGCGCGAAAGCGUGGGGAGCAAACAGGAUUAGAUACCCGAGUAGUC